rnacentral:rRNA from 1 species
GUGGGGAAUAUUGGACAAUGGGGGGAACCCUGAUCCAGCCAUGCCGCGUGUGUGAAGAAGGCCUUUUGGUUGUAAAGCACUUUAAGUGGGGAGGAGGCUUACCUGGUUAAUACCUGGGCUAAGUGGACGUUACCCACAGAAUAAGCACCGGCUAACUCUGUGCCAGCAGCCGCGGUAAUACAGAGGGUGCGAGCGUUAAUCGGAUUUACUGGGCGUAAAGCGCGCGAAGGUGGUUAAUUAAGUCAAAUGUGAAAUCCCCGAGCUUAACUUGGGAAUUGCAUUCGAUACUGGUUAGCUAGAGUAUGGGAGAGGAUGGUAGAAUUCCAGGUGUAGCGGUGAAAUGCGUAGAGAUCUGGAGGAAUACCGAUGGCGAAGGCAGCCAUCUGGCCUAAUACUGACACUGAGGUGCGAAAGCAUGGGGAGCAAACAGGAUUAGAAACCCCGGUAGUCC